AGGAUGAACGCUGGCGGCGUGCCUAAGACAUGCAAGUCGAGUGGGUUUAGACCCACGGCGAACGGGUGAGUAAUACCUAGGAACUUUCUUUAAGUGGAGGAUAACCAGUCGAAAGAUUGGAUAAUACUUCAUGUGGCAGUAAUGCUAAAGUCGCAAGACGCUUAAAGUGAGGCCUGGGCACCAUCAGCUAGUUGGUAAGGUAAUGGCUUACCAAGGCUAUGACGGUUAGGGGUCCCGAGAGGGAUAACCCCCACACUGGAACUGCGACACGGUCCAGACUCCUACGGGAGGCAGCAGUUUGGAAUUUUGGACAAUGGGCGAAAGCCUGAUCCAGCGACGCCGCGUGGACGAUGAAGGCCUUCGGGUCGUAAAGUCCUUUUGCUCGGGAACAAUAUUUUGAGCGUACCGAGAGAAUAAGAGGUUGCUAACUCUGUGCCAGCAGCCGC
rnacentral:rRNA from 1 species